UGCUGUGUCAAGUCCACAACAUCACCAUGCAUGUAGGUGUACUUGGUUCAUCUUCGGGUUCAGGUGUAGGGGUUAGUGGCCUUAAGCAUUAACCAUUUAAUCCUGAUGAAUGCUGCUUGUUUUGCACAGGCUGACAAGGACAAUGACAGGUCUACGCACAGAUGACUCUGCAACCAAUAAACUCUAAGUACUGUCGGAAAGGGAGCUUGGUGAAGAUAUUCAUGACAUGCUGAACUGCGUUUUCUCUACAUGUGCUUUUAUCGGUUUGCAUGCUGCAUGUUUGAUGUUUUGCCUGAGCUGCGGACGAAAUGGUACUGAAUGCCUGAAAGUAAUGUUAACAAUGUUCAGUUUAAGUGUACAUUUCGAGAUCAGUGCCAGUGUUUAUAAACACUCAAAAUCUGUACAGUAUUUCUUAGAUUAACGAGUGCUUACUGUAUAAUUUAGGAAAGUUUUAAUAAUACUACAGCAGAUGCUAAUUAAAUCAGGAAGUGAAGCACUACCAAACGUACCGUAUACAAUGUUCAGUUCAAGUUUAAUUUUUAGUUUAGUGCCAGAGUUUAUCAUCAACCCAAAAAAUAUAUAUCUGAUUUUCACAUUGACGAGUAUUACUGCUUACUUCUCCCAUUCCUUGGUUGAAGACUCUGUUUCGAACCGAGCCUUGCAGCAAGGAGGGAAUGGUUGCGUCUGUUUUGUGCUUGGACGCCUUCUCCUAGUUGUGCUAAAAUUGAGGUGCAUGUUUAAUUAACAAGCACCUUUCAUCCCCACUGUGACAGUAAUGCAUUGAGGUGCCUCUGGACUGUAGUGUCUUAGGUUGCCAGGAGUAGUAAAACUUAGUGUUGUAUUGAGGAUUGAGGGUGGCUGGGCUUAUAAGUUAAUCAUCAGCGUGAAUGCUUUGUUUGUCUGAUACUCACAAGUUAAUGCUUCGCUCGUCUGGGUGUGUGAUAAUGCCAUGUGUCUUGUGCAAUCAGAUUACAUUUCUGUUUGUUAUGGUAAUAUAAAAAAUAUUCAUGCUGUCAAAAUUUUCACAGUGUGUGCCUUUCAUUUCUUUAGUUUGAUUGUUUCCCUUGUAUUCAAUAUGCUUCUAGUGGCUGAUCCUUCCAUUUUUGUUGUGGCAUCUUUAUUUUCACAGGUGUUGUGUGUUCUGGAAGAUGGAAGAGGAAGAAAACCUAUUUUUGUUGAACUAAAUUUUUUGUAUUCUGUUUUGUUGUACGUAUCAUUUGAUAGUUCUGUAUAGGAACAAGUGAUACUAUUUUGUAGGGCUUUAUGGCCUGUGAUGUAAAACAUAUUUAGUGCUGAAAUAUGAAAUUAUUUGCAAAAUUUGUCGAAAAGGAGGAUCAUAUGUAUGAAUAUGUGAAUGGGGUGAAAAGAGUAUUGGACCAACUCUAGGAUUGAAUUAUUAUUUGAAUGUAUAAAAAGGCUGAAUGUAAACCAGAAAUGGGCUGCACAAAAUUGUACAUAUAU
rnacentral:lncRNA from 1 species